rnacentral:lncRNA from 1 species
GCAUUAUAGUUCGGGAACAUAGGCAUAGAUGAGGGGCCACUAUGAGACUCUAAAGCUUCGAGUCUCUUAGUAAGGGUUGCUAAUUUGGCAUCGGUUGCCACAUUGUUUCCUAUCGAGUGCAAACCCCUAGAGCUAGAUGCCUCGAUCGACUUUUUAGGUUCCCUAGUAGACUCCCAUAACAUUGUUUUCUCGGCUAAGUCCUCGAAAAAUUCCCACCCUUGGUCCUCAUCUUU